rnacentral:rRNA from 1 species
AAAACAUCUCUUUAUGAUUAAAAUAAUAAGUUGACUCUGCCCAAUGAAUAUUUUAAUGGCUGCAGUAUUUUAACUGUACAAAGGUAGCAUAAUAAAUUGUUUUUUAAAUGAAAACUAGUAUGAAGGAGGUGAUGAAAUAUAUACUUUAUUAUAUUUAUAAUUUGAAUUUUAUUUUAAAGUAAAAAAGCUUUAAUUAUUUUAAGGGACGAGAAGACCCUAUAGAAUUUUAUAUUAAGUUUUAUAUUUAAUAUAAAAUUUAAUAUUUAUUUGGGAGGAAUAUUAAAUUUUUAAACUUUAAUUGUUAAUUAACAUUUAUAUAUGAAUAAAGUAGAUUUUAUUAAUUAAAUUUAAAAUUAAAUUACCUUAGGGAUAACAGCGUAAUAUUUUUUUAUAGUUCUUAUUGAAAAUAAUGUUU